UGGAUUGUGUUAUCCAGUUAUCUUUAGAAUCGAGCUCUUUAUCAUUUGAAUAAUAGUUGCAUAGUAACACAGUAGCCAUGCAAGAACGAGCAGAAUUAACAUUGUUGAAUGAAGAUGAUUUCAUUCUGAAGUCAAUAAUAAGACAGUAGUAUUUUCUAAGAUUGCAGCGACAAUAGAGCGACGAGGAUUGUUGUGAAACGAUUAAAUGAAUGUGAAAAAUAUUGAUAUUUCGGAGUUGAAAAAUCAUAAAUUUAGUUUUUAUUCCUCCUUCUAAAUCUGUGGUGCAAAUGAGAUACCGAAGGCGCUUCCUUCGGCCCUGUUUAUACCGCUUCGUUUACUCCCGUCAUGGCCCUUUCCGUUAGCUAAGGAGGGCAAUGUAGCCCCCCGUCGACCUUUGCCGCAGAACCCUACAAUGUCGUACCAUGACGAGAAGUUGUGUGAUUCCGCCAACGUAAACAAACGACGUUAUCACAACAAGGAUGAAUGGAUCGUAUAUCCGGAUGAUAUACGCAUUUCUCGGAGCUAUGUUUUUUUUUGUUUAAUUUAGUAGGGCAACGCGUAUGUUUUUAGAUGGCAGAAUUGUUCGCCAUUUAGAUACCAUCAACUGGAAAAAAGAAGAAUAACAAUCAAAAUAUGUUCAAAAACCCCGGCCUAUCCAACUACGUAGCAAAAAUAUAACUCGUCACAGUUUGUAUUUUGUACUAACAUCGUGCACUAUUUUGAGGACAUCGUAUACCGGCAUCUACAACAUCUUAGCAAUGAAAGACAAGAAUCAGAGCAUCGAAAGAAGGCCCAGUACUGAAUGGUCGUCGACCCUGAGCGACUCGAGGUUCAAGAGGAAGCUGAACAUGAAGAUCAUGGGAAAAGUCUUUACAAAGCUGCGUUCGCUUGGUUGGGAGGUUGAUGCAACCGGCCAAACAGUGAAAUAGUACUUGGGAAACAUGAGCAAACAUAUCAGGGAGCAGAAAUCGCGUCCACAGGCUUCGCAGCGGUUACUCUCUAUGGAGGCAGUUCAUCAGCAACUUCCGGAGGGGUGUUAUUUCAAGUGAUCAGGAUCGCUGUUCAUCCUAACUACGUUCCGAAUAGUGGUGUAUCAGAUUUCAAUAUUGCUGGCCUUGCUGUGCCAACGAAUGCCUUCAGAGGAAAGCAAUAUAUUGCAUCGAUACCGCUUGCACCAGAUGGAGUAACAAUUGGAACUAAAUGCUCCGUGUUCCGGUGGUGCAGAUCAAUUGCCAAUCUCCCAGCAACUGCUACUGUAUUACGUUCUGCUGACAUGUACAUAACAUCGGAUGCUACCUGUGCUAGAGUUUGGGCUACAUUUGGAGUGAAAAUUACUUCAAACAUGCUCUGUGCUAAGGGCGGCAAAGCAGCGGAUUUAUGCCCUGGUGAUUAUGGCAAUGCCCUGGAGUGGUGCGGUAGACUGACUGGAGUUGCGAUCCUAGUUACUUCGUGUGGUAAUGGCCGGGACGCAGUAUAUACAAAAAUAACGGCUCCUAGUGUUCGCAGCUUCAUUCGCAUCCAAACUGGUGUAUGAUGCAGAUCGUGUGUACGGUAACUACUAGUAUGAUUUUGUAUGUUGCUAAAUAUUCAUGCCUGUCUUUGGAAACCUUUUGAAUAAAAAUUAAAGUCUGU